CUGGUCCACGUUUGUUAUGGCUUGAGCUGAGCUUUUGCUCGCCAUCCACCACUGCUGUUUGCCUCCGUCGCAGACCUACCACUGACUCCCAUCCCUCCGGAUCCGGCAGGGUGUCUGCUGUGCUCCUGAUCCAGUGAGGCGCCCAUUGCCACUCCCGAUCGGGCUAAAGGCUUGCCAUUGUUCCUGCACGGCUAAGUGCCCGGGUUCGUCCUAAUUGAGCUGAACACUAGUCACUGUGUUCCAAGGUUCUCUUCCGUGACCCAUAACUUCUAAUAGAGCUAUAACACUCACCACAUGGCCCAAGAUUCCAUUCCUUGGAAUCCUGUGAGGCCAAGAACCUCAGGUCAGAGAAUAUGAGGCUUGCCACCAUCUUGGAAGUGACCCGCCGCCGUUUUGGAAGUAGCCUACCACCAUCUUGGGAGCUCUGGGAGCAAGGACCCCUGGUAACAUUUUGGAGACCACGAAGGGACAUCCAAAGUGAGAAGAUCCAAACCAUAACAAACAAGCAAGAAAGAAAACAAGCAAGAAAGAAAACAAGCAAGCAGAAGUCAGAAACUCAAAAAGCCAAAAGGAUUCUACUUGCACACCAGCUAAUCAAAAUGAACAGUUUAAGACUGUGUGUGCCAAAAUGAUGCAUAUGGGUGAUCACUUGCUGUAUUACAGGUGCAGUUAUCAAAUGUUUAUAUAAAAUAGCUCGAAAAUGGCAGAAGGAGACAACAUGUUUUAUGCAUUCCAAAGAAGCCUGCCAGUAAGCCACCAAAAAUUAAAGUUGCAUACGUUCUUCAAGAGUAAAACAGGAAGAAAAUAGAACCUGCAUUAUGCUCCUCAAACCACCUAUUCCACUGCUACCAUAAUCACGAGGUGUUUAGGAAUGAGAAAACACAGCCAGCCUGUGAAGCUGGAAGUAAGAUGGAGUCAGUCACAUUGAUGCAGGAUUUUUCUCGGUCGCUUUGUCAGCCAGGAACCUCCACAUCCAGGGACAUCCCUGCCCAGAGCCUCACUCAGCCCUGACCCUGCUGCAGAGGUGCCUCAUCCACUCAGCCCACUGGACCACACCUGGCUUGCACACCGGCUCAGAUCCCCCACAUGCCACAGUAGGGCCUGGCGUGCCCCAGUCCAUCUGUGUUACAGCUCAUAUCUGUGUUCAGUGGUUACCAAGUUUUUGUCCCACAUCCAAGAAUGAGGUUACACUGACCUGAUGAUCGAAGGAUGAG
rnacentral:lncRNA from 10 species